rnacentral:rRNA from 1 species
GUGGGGGAUAUUGCACAAUGGGGGGAACCCUGAUGCAGCGACGCCGCGUGAGCGAUGAAGUAUUUCGGUAUGUAAAGCUCUAUCAGCAGGGAAGAAAAUGACGGUACCUGACUAAGAAGCCCCGGCUAACUACGUGCCAGCAGCCGCGGUAAUACGUAGGGGGCAAGCGUUAUCCGGAUUUACUGGGUGUAAAGGGAGCGUAGACGGCAGUGCAAGUCUGAAGUGAAAGGCAAGGGCUCAACCCUUGGACUGCUUUGGAAACUGUGCUGCUGGAGUGUCGGAGAGGCAAGUGGAAUUCCUAGUGUAGCGGUGAAAUGCGUAGAUAUUAGGAGGAACACCAGUGGCGAAGGCGGCUUGCUGGACGAUGACUGACGUUGAGGCUCGAAAGCGUGGGGAGCAAACAGG